GAUGAACGCUGGCGGCGUGCCUAAUACAUGCAAGUCGAGCGAACAGACGAGGAGCUUGCUCCUCUGACGUUAGCGGCGGACGGGUGAGUAACACGUGGAUAACCUACCUAUAAGACUGGGAUAACUUCGGGAAACCGGAGCUAAUACCGGAUAAUAUAUUGAACCGCAUGGUUCAAUAGUGAAAGACGGUUUUGCUGUCACUUAUAGAUGGAUCCGCGCCGCAUUAGCUAGUUGGUAAGGUAACGGCUUACCAAGGCGACGAUGCGUAGCCGACCUGAGAGGGUGAUCGGCCACACUGGAACUGAGACACGGUCCAGACUCCUACGGGAGGCAGCAGUAGGGAAUCUUCCGCAAUGCGCGAAAGCCUGACGGAGCAACGCCGCGUGAGUGAUGAAGGUCUUCGGAUCGUAAAACUCUGUUAUUAGGGAAGAACAAAUGUGUAAGUAACUAUGCACGUCUUGACGGUACCUAAUCAGAAAGCCACGGCUAACUACGUG
rnacentral:rRNA from 1 species